GCAUUGGUGGUUCAGUGGUAGAAUUCCCGUCUGCCACGCGGGAGACCAGAGUUUGAUUCCCUGCCAAUGCA
rnacentral:tRNA from 1 species